rnacentral:rRNA from 1 species
AACGAACGCUGGCGGCAUGCCUAACACAUGCAAGUCGAACGAAGCCUUCGGGCUUAGUGGCGCACGGGUGCGUAACGCGUGGGAAUCUGCCCUUGGGUUCGGAAUAACAGUUAGAAAUGACUGCUAAUACCGGAUGAUGACGUAAGUCCAAAGAUUUAUUGCCCAGGGAUGAGCCCGCGUAGGAUUAGGUAGUUGGUGAGGUAAAGGCUCACCAAGCCGACGAUCCUUAGCUGGUCUGAGAGGAUGAUCAGCCACACUGGGACUGAGACACGGCCCAGACUCCUACGGGAGGCAGCAGUGGGGAAUAUUGGACAAUGGGCGAAAGCCUGAUCCAGCAAUGCCGCGUGAGUGAUGAAGGCCUUAGGGUUGUAAAGCUCUUUUACCCGGGAUGAUAAUGACAGUACCGGGAGAAUAAGCUCCGGCUAACUCCGUGCCAGCAGCCGCCGUAAGAC